rnacentral:misc_RNA from 1 species
GCGGACUACCGGGGUUUCUAAUCCUGUUCGCUCCCCACGCUUUCGCGCCUUAGCGUCAGUACCGUCCCAGCAAGCUGCCUUCGCUAUAGGUGUUCCUCCUGAUAUCUGCGCAUUCCACCGCUACACCAGGAAUUCCACUUGCCUCUUCCGGACUCUAGCCCGACAGUAUCCACCGGCAUUCAACAGUUGAGCCGUUGACUUUCACAGCGGACUUAUCGGGCCGCCUACGCGCGCUUUACGCCCAAUGAUUCCGGACAACGCUUGCCCCCUACGUAUUACCGCGGCUGCUGGCACGUAGUUAGCCGGGGCUUCUUGUGGAGGUACCGUCAGCCGGCACGGCUGUUCACCGGCCGGCCUUCGUCCCUCCUGAAAGGGGUUUACAACCCGAAGGCCUUCUUCC